GAUGAACGCUAGCGGCAGGCUUAAUACAUGCAAGUUGAGGGGCAGCAUGAUAUACGCGAGUAUAUUGAUGGCGACCGGCGGACGGGUGAGUAAUAGGUAGGAGACCUACCUCAUACAGGGGGAUAGCAUAGAGAAAUCUGUGGUAAUACCCCAUGAGGUUAUAUGAAUAGAGGCAUAUAAUCAAAGCAUAAGCGAUUAUGCGGUAUGAGAGGGGCCUACUGACCAUUAGCUAGUUGGUGAGGUAAGGGCUCACCAAGGCGAAGAUGGUUAGGGGUUUUGAGAGAGAGACCCCCCACAUUGGAACUGAGAGACGGUCCAGACUCCUACGGGAGGCAGCAGUAGGGAAUAUUGGGCAAUGGCGAAAGCCUGACCCAGCCAUGCCGCGUGAAGGAAGACAGCCUUAUGGGUUUGUAAACUUUCUUUACUACGCGAAUAGAGGUUAGUACGAGAUACUAAUAGGAAGGUAGUAGUAAGUAAAAAGCACCGGCUAACUCCGUACG
rnacentral:rRNA from 1 species